GUUAUAUGGUCAAGUGAAGAAGCGCAUACGGUGGAUGCCUUGGCAGUCAGAGGCGAUGAAAGACGUGGUAGCCUGCGAAAAGCUUCGGGGAGUCGGCAAACAGACUGUGAUCCGGAGAUAUCUGAAUGGGGGAACCCAGCCAUCAUAAGAUGGUUAUCUUGUACUGAAUACAUAGGUGCAAGAGGCGAACCAGGGGAACUGAAACAUCUAAGUACCCUGAGGAAAAGAAAUCAACCGAGAUUCCCUUAGUAGUGGCGAGCGAACGGGGACCAGCCCUUAAGUUGUAUUGAGAUUAGCGGAACGUUCUGGAAAGGACGGCCAUAGUGGGUGAUAGCCCUGUACGCGAAAAUCCCUUUGCAAUGAAAUCGAGUAGGACGGGGCACGAGAAACCUUGUCUGAAUAUGGGGGGACCAUCCUCCAAGGCUAAAUACUACUGACUGACCGAUAGUGAACCAGUACCGUGAGGGAAAGGCGAAAAGAACCGCGGAGAGCGGAGUGAAAUAGAUCCUGAAACCGUAUGCGUACAAGCAGUGGGAGCCCACUUUGUUGGGUGACUGCGUACCUUUUGUAUAAUGGGUCAGCGACUUAUUUUCAGUGGCGAGCUUAACCGAAUAGGGGAGGCGUAGCGAAAGCGAGUCUUAAUAGGGCGUCUAGUCGCUGGGAAUAGACCCGAAACCGGGCGAUCUAUCCAUGGGCAGGUUGAAGGUUGGGUAACACUAACUGGAGGACCGAACCGACUACCGUUGAAAAGUUAGCGGAUGACCUGUGGAUCGGAGUGAAAGGCUAAUCAAGCUCGGAGAUAGCUGGUUCUCCUCGAAAGCUAUUUAGGUAGCGCCUCAUGUAUCACUGUAGGGGGUAGAGCACUGUUUCGGCUAGGGGGUCAUCCCGACUUACCAAACCGAUGCAAACUCCGAAUACCUACAAGUGCCGAGCAUGGGAGACACACGGCGGGUGCUAACGUCCGUCGUGAAAAGGGAAACAACCCAGACCGUCAGCUAAGGUCCCAAAGUCAUGGUUAAGUGGGAAACGAUGUGGGAAGGCUUAGACAGCUAGGAGGUUGGCUUAGAAGCAGCCACCCUUUAAAGAAAGCGUAAUAGCUCACUAGUCGAGUCGGCCUGCGCGGAAGAUGUAACGGGGCUCAAACCAUGCACCGAAGCUACGGGUAUCAUCUUUUGAUGAUGCGGUAGAGGAGCGUUCUGUAAGCCUGUGAAGGUGAGUUGAGAAGCUUGCUGGAGGUAUCAGAAGUGCGAAUGCUGACAUGAGUAACGACAAUGGGUGUGAAAAACACCCACGCCGAAAGACCAAGGUUUCCUGCGCAACGUUAAUCGACGCAGGGUUAGUCGGUCCCUAAGGCGAGGCUGAAAAGCGUAGUCGAUGGAAAACAGGUUAAUAUUCCUGUACUUCUGGUUAUUGCGAUGGAGGGACGGAGAAGGCUAGGCCAGCCUGGCGUUGGUUGUCCAGGUUUAAGGUGGUAGGCUGAGAUCUUAGGUAAAUCCGGGAUCUUAAGGCCGAGAGCUGAUGACGAGUGUUCUUUAGAACACGAAGUGGUUGAUGCCAUGCUUCCAAGAAAAGCUUCUAAGCUUCAGGUAACCAGGAACCGUACCCCAAACCGACACAGGUGGUUGGGUAGAGAAUACCAAGGCGCUUGAGAGAACUCGGGUGAAGGAACUAGGCAAAAUGGCACCGUAACUUCGGGAGAAGGUGCGCCGGUGAGGGUGAAGCAUUUACUGCGUAAGCUCAUGCCGGUCGAAGAUACCAGGCCGCUGCGACUGUUUAUUAAAAACACAGCACUCUGCAAACACGAAAGUGGACGUAUAGGGUGUGACGCCUGCCCGGUGCCGGAAGGUUAAUUGAUGGGGUUAGCGCAAGCGAAGCUCUUGAUCGAAGCCCCGGUAAACGGCGGCCGUAACUAUAACGGUCCUAAGGUAGCGAAAUUCCUUGUCGGGUAAGUUCCGACCUGCACGAAUGGCGUAACGAUGGCGGCGCUGUCUCCACCCGAGACUCAGUGAAAUUGAAAUCGCUGUGAAGAUGCAGUGUAUCCGCGGCUAGACGGAAAGACCCCGUGAACCUUUACUAUAGCUUUGCACUGGACUUUGAAUUUGCUUGUGUAGGAUAGGUGGGAGGCUUUGAAGCGUGGACGCCAGUCUGCGUGGAGCCAACCUUGAAAUACCACCCUGGCAACUUUGAGGUUCUAACUCAGGUCCGUUAUCCGGAUCGAGGACAGUGUAUGGUGGGUAGUUUGACUGGGGCGGUCUCCUCCUAAAGAGUAACGGAGGAGUACGAAGGUGCGCUCAGACCGGUCGGAAAUCGGUCGUAGAGUAUAAAGGCAAAAGCGCGCUUGACUGCGAGACAGACACGUCGAGCAGGUACGAAAGUAGGUCUUAGUGAUCCGGUGGUUCUGUAUGGAAGGGCCAUCGCUCAACGGAUAAAAGGUACUCCGGGGAUAACAGGCUGAUACCGCCCAAGAGUUCAUAUCGACGGCGGUGUUUGGCACCUCGAUGUCGGCUCAUCACAUCCUGGGGCUGAAGCCGGUCCCAAGGGUAUGGCUGUUCGCCAUUUAAAGUGGUACGCGAGCUGGGUUUAGAACGUCGUGAGACAGUUCGGUCCCUAUCUGCCGUGGACGUUUGAGAUUUGAGAGGGGCUGCUCCUAGUACGAGAGGACCGGAGUGGACGAACCUCUGGUGUUCCGGUUGUCACGCCAGUGGCAUUGCCGGGUAGCUAUGUUCGGAAAAGAUAACCGCUGAAAGCAUCUAAGCGGGAAACUUGCCUCAAGAUGAGAUCUCACUGGAACCUUGAGUUCCCUAAAGGGCCGUCGAAGACUACGACGUUGAUAGGUUGGGUGUGUAAGCGCUGUGAGGCGUUGAGCUAACCAAUACUAAUUGCCCGUGAGGCUUGACCAUAUAACACCCAAGCAAUU
rnacentral:rRNA from 1 species